UACGUAGGGUGCGAGCGUUAAUCAGAAUUACUGGGCGUAAAGCGUGCGCAGGCGGUUCUCCAAGUCCGUUGUGAAAGCCCCGGGCUCAACCUGGGAAUGGCAGUGGAAACUAGGGGACUGGAAUCUGGCAGAGGGGGGUGGAAUGCCGCGUGUAGCAGUGAAAUGCGUAGAGAUGCGGCGGAACACCGAUGGCGAAGGCAGCCCCCUGGGCUGAGAUUGACGCUCAGGCACGAAAGCGUGGGGAGCAAACAGG
rnacentral:rRNA from 1 species